rnacentral:rRNA from 1 species
UGGCUCAGUCGUACAGGUAGCCGUAGAGUUUGAUCCUGGCUCAGUCAUUACCACGUGAGCAUCCUGCCCCAAGCUUUGGGAUAACCCCGGGAAACCGGGGCUAAUACCGAAUAGGACCUGGCCUCGCAUGGGGCUGGGUGGAAAGUUUUUCGGCUUGGGAUGGGCUCGCGGCCUAUCAGCUUGUUGGUGGGGUGAUGGCCUACCAAGGCGACGACGGGUAGCCGGCCUGAGAGGGCGACCGGCCACACUGGGACUGAGACACGGCCCAGACUCCUACGGGAGGCAGCAGUGGGGAAUAUUGCACAAUGGGCGGAAGCCUGAUGCAGCGACGCCGCGUGAGGGAUGACGGCCUUCGGGUUGUAAACCUCUUUCAGCAGGGACGAAGCGUAAGUGACGGUACCUGCAGAAGAAGCACCGGCCAACUACGUGCCAGCAGCCGCGGUAAGACGUAGGGUGCGAGCGUUGUCCGGAUUUAUUGGGCGUAAAGAGCUCGUAGGCGGCUUGUCGCGUCGACUGUGAAAACCCGCAGCUCAACUGCGGGCCUGCAGUCGAUACGGGCAGGCUAGAGUUCGGUAGGGGAGACUGGAAUUCCUGGUGUAGCGGUGAAAUGCGCAGAUAUCAGAGGAACACCGAUGGCGAAAGCAGGUCUCUGGGCCCGAUACUGACGCUGAGGAGCGAAAGCGUGGGGAGCGAACAGGAUUAGAUACCCUGGUAGUCCACGCUGUAAACGUUGGGCGCUAGGUGUGGGGGGGCCUCUC